UACGUAGGGCGCAAGCGUUAUCCGGAAUUAUUGGGCGUAAAGAGCUCGUAGGCGGUUUGUCGCGUCUGGUGUGAAAAUCCAGGGCUUAACCCUGGACCUGCAUCGGGAUACGGGCAGACUAGAGUGCGGUAGGGGAGAUCGGAAUUCCUGGUGUAGCGGUGAAAUGCGCAGAUAUCAGGAGGAACACCGGUGGCGAAGGCGGAUCUCUGGGCCGUAACUGACGCUGAGGAGCGAAAGCAUGGGGAGCGAACAGG
rnacentral:rRNA from 1 species